rnacentral:rRNA from 1 species
UACAGAGGGGGCAAGCGUUGUUCGGAAUUACUGGGCGUAAAGCGUGCGCAGGCGGUUGUGCAAGACCGAUGUGAAAUCCCCGGGCUCAACCUGGGAAUGGCAUUGGUGACUGUACGGCUAGAGUGUGUCAGAGGGGGGUAGAAUUCCACGUGUAGCAGUGAAAUGCGUAGAGAUGUGGAGGAAUACCGAUGGCGAAGGCAGCCCCCUGGGAUAACACUGACGCUCAUGCACGAAAGCGUGGGGAGCAAACAGG